rnacentral:rRNA from 1 species
GCAGUCGAGCGAGACCUUCGGGUCUAGCGGCGGACGGGUGAGUAACGCGUGGGAAUAUGCCCUUCGGUUCGGAAUAGCCCCGGGAAACUGGGAGUAAUACCGGAUACGGUCUACGGACGAAAGAUUUAUCGCCGAAGGAUUAGCCCGCGUUGGAUUAGGUAGUUGGUGGGGUAAUGGCCUACCAAGCCGACGAUCCAUAGCUGGUUUGAGAGGAUGAUCAGCCACACUGGGACUGAGACACGGCCCAGACUCCUACGGGAGGCAGCAGUGGGGAAUCUUAGACAAUGGGGGAAACCCUGAUCUAGCCAUGCCGCGUGAGCGAUGAAGGCCUUAGGGUUGUAAAGCUCUUUCAGUGGGGAAGAUAAUGACUGUACCCACAGAAGAAGCCCCGGCUAACUCCGUGCCAGCAGCCGCGGUAAUACGGAGGGGGCUAGCGUUGUUCGGAAUUACUGGGCGUAAAGCGCACGUAGGCGGACUGGAAAGUCAGAGGUGAAAUCCCAGGGCUCAACCUUGGAACUGCCUUUGAAACUCCCAUUCUUGAGGUC